CAAAGUUGAAGUCGUCUUCCAACCAGCCAUCACUUGCAACAGUUGAAGAUGAUGCAUUCUUUGGGCCUUUUUGUGAUCGUCCAUCUUGCCUCUCAAAGCCAGUAUGGCAUAGAGUAGCUCUCAAGGCAAUAAAUUAUGAUCCUACAAACGCCCGGAAUCAAGUAUAAUUAUGAUUAUAUUGUUCCAUCUAGAUUGGAAAGGCUUUUAAGAGAAAGGGAACUAAGAAAAUCCAGCAGGUUGAUUUGCAAAUGAAGGCAUAAGAGAUGGCUACAAAGAACUCGUAUGUUUAUCAAGUUGAAAUCUAAUCCAAUUUAAUCAAUUAUUUAUAAGUAAAUCUAAGAGACAUGUUCAUGUGGCCUUUGGGAAUAUACUAAUCCAAUAAUACCCUACUCCAUUUAUAUCAAUUUAUAGGAAUCAUUUUCUUUUUAAUUUGUCCAAAAAAAGAAUAGCAAUUCCAAGAACCAAAAAAAUAAA